rnacentral:rRNA from 1 species
UACGUAGGGUGCGAGCGUUAAUCGGAAUUACUGGGCGUAAAGUGUGCGCAGGCGGCCGCGCAAGUCGAGUGUGAAAUCCCCGAGCUUGACUUGGGAAUUGCGCUCGAAACUACGUGGCUGGAGUGUGGCAGAGGAAGGUGGAAUUCCACGUGUAGCGGUGAAAUGCGUAGAGAUGUGGAGGAACACCGAUGGCGAAGGCAGCCUUCUGGGCCAACACUGACGCUCAUGCACGAAAACGUGGGGAGCAAACAGG